rnacentral:rRNA from 1 species
UACGAAGGUCCCAAGCGUUGUUCGGAAUCACUGGGCGUAAAGGGCGCGUAGGCGGCGCGGUAAGUCGGGUGUGAAAUCUCGGAGCUUAACUCCGAAACUGCAUUCGAUACUGCCGUGCUUGAGGACUGGAGAGGAGACUGGAAUUUACGGUGUAGCGGUGAAAUGCGUAGAUAUCGUAAGGAAGACCAGUGGCGAAGGCGGGUCUCUGGACAGCUCCUGACGCUGAGGCACGAAGGCCAGGGGAGCAAACGGG